GACGUAGGGCGCGAGCGUUGUCCGGAUUUAUUGGGCGUAAAGAGCUCGUAGGCGGCUUGUCGCGUCGACUGUGAAAACCCGCGGCUCAACUGCGGGCUUGCAGUCGAUACGGGCAGGCUAGAGUUCGAUAGGGGAGAGUGGAAUUCCUGGUGUAGCGGUGAAAUGCGCAGAUAUCAGGAAGGAACACCGUAGCGGCAAGGC
rnacentral:rRNA from 1 species